CGUAGCUCAAUCGGAUAGAGUGUCGGCCUCCGAAGCCGAAGGUUGUGGGUUCAAUUCCCGUCGG
rnacentral:tRNA from 1 species